GCCGGGCGUGGUGGCGCACGCCUGUAAUCCCAGCUACUCAGGAGGCUGAGGCAGGAGAAUCACUUGAACCCAGGAGGCGGAGGUUGCAGUGACCCAAGAUCAUGCCGCUGCACUGCAGCCUGGGUGACAGAGGGAGAUUCUGUCUCAA
ensembl:misc_RNA Metazoa_SRP Metazoan signal recognition particle RNA